AUUGAACGCUGGCGGCAGGCCUAACACAUGCAAGUCGAGCGCGCGGCGGACGGGUGAGUAAUGUCUGGGAAACUGCCUGAUGGAGGGGGAUAACUACUGUAAACUGUAGCUAAUACCGCAUACCAGCAUGUGUACCCACAGGGGAUUAGCUAGUAGGUGGGGUAACGGCUCACCUAGGCGACGAUCCCUAGCUGGUCUGAGAGGAUGACCAGCCACACUGGAACUGAGACACGGUCCAGACUCCUACGGGAGGCAGCAGUGGGGAAUAUUGCACAAUGGGCGCAAGCCUGAUGCAGCCAUGCCGCGUGUAUGAAGAAGGCCUUCGGGUUGUAAAGUACUUUCAGCGGGGAGGCGUUACCCGCAGAAGAAGCACCGGCUAACUCCGUGCCAGCCGCCGCGGUAAUUC
rnacentral:rRNA from 1 species